rnacentral:rRNA from 1 species
GACAGAGGUGCCGAGCGUUAGGCGGAAUCACUGGGCUUAAAGCGUGUGUAGGCGGGUCGUUAAGUACCUUGUGAAAUCCCCCGGCUCAACCGGGGAACUGCUGGGUAUACUGGCGAUCUUGAGCGAUCUAGGGGCAGAUGGAACAAGUGGUGGAGCGGUGAAAUGCGUAGAUAUCACUUGGAACGCCAAAGGUGAAAACAGUCUGCUGGGGAUCUGCUGACGCUGAGACACGAAAGCCAGGGGAGCGAACGGG